rnacentral:snRNA from 1 species
AGAUGUAAAGGCGAUCUGGCUGUGACAUCUGUCACCCAUUGAUUGCCAGGGUGGAUUCAGCUGAUGUGUCUGGCUAGGCAGGUGUCCCCUUCCUCCCUCACUGCUUCAUGUGUGUCCCCCCCGAAGCUGCAUACUUGGUUGAAAAAGAUGACCUUUCCCAAUAGAGGAGGAUUGUUCUUUGGUCAAAGGUAUACAAGUAUCUGUGCUCCCCUGCUAGAAUCUCCAAACUAGCUCUCAAGGUGAAGGUCUCAUGGUGAGAGUAGAUGAAGGUCUGUGCUACAC